rnacentral:snoRNA from 1 species
UCAACGUAGACAUCCAGUGGAAUUAAGCCUCCACUGGCUCUGUCUGUAUGGCACACGGGAGCCUAACAUCUUUGAUUUGAGGUAUAUUCCCAGCCAUGACGUUGAACAUCAAAACUGCCCCAGAUAUUUUAAAUAUCUGUUGAGUGCAGUACUUUGCAUAUUCCUUGUGUCUCCUAGAGUCACUAUGUGACAAUAACGAGGAGGAUAAACCAUGCAAUGAACAGUU